UACGGAGGAUCCAAGCGUUAUCCGGAAUCAUUGGAUUUAAAGGGUCCGUAGGCGGUUUAGUAAGUCAGUGGUGAAAGCCCAUCGCUCAACGGUGGAACGGCCAUUGAUACUGCUAGACUUGAAUUAUUAGGAAGUAACUAGAAUAUGUAGUGUAGCGGUGAAAUGCUUAGAGAUUACAUGGAAUACCAAUUGCGAAGGCAGGUUACUACUAAUGGAUUGACGCUGAUGGACGAAAGCGUGGGUAGCGAACAGG
rnacentral:rRNA from 1 species